GAACCAACACUCGUGUUGCUCCCAGCUGAAUCACCUCUUUGAUGCCUCUCAUUAUCCCUGCAACAACAAACGGAACGUAACUUCUGACUUCGGAGAUUUGCUUUCUCUGGAAGAAACAAUUGUAGUAAUCGUUUCCUCCCCAUUCCCCCAUUAUUACGAUCGAGUUUUUCAAAUUCUCUGCACAUUUCGAUCCACAAGUCGAUUUCAG
rnacentral:misc_RNA from 1 species